rnacentral:lncRNA from 1 species
CCUUGAACGCUCAGAGAUUCAGGGUGCCAGUUUCCUGACACGUGAUUCAUCAGGCUAGAGAUAAUCCCACAAAAUGCCUGUCCGUCUGUGUGUUUCUGUCAUGUCUGUCACCAUUGUACUCAGAGUGCUUGGAGCUGCUGCCGUUUUUAUGAAAGAGAAUCACAAAGGUGGGAGAAAGGAGCCUCCUGGGUUCUGGGGCCUCACCUGGUGAGGUGUGGCCAAAAGGCUGAGGACUGGUCAAGGCAAGAAGUAGGUCUGCCUCUUCUGGACUGUCCUGACCCCAGGGUGAGCCUGAGUUAUAAGUUCAAGGCGUUCCUCAACCUGCCCCCCAACAGCAGAAGCCCUUCCCCAGGCGCUGCGGCCUGCAGGAUCUGCAGGCUGUACCCAGGCAGAGGACGCCCAUGGCUGACGACGUCUGCCUGGUCUCCCUGGGGUUCCAGCCUUUAAUCUGGCUUUGCCAACAGCCACAUGCUCGCUGUACUGUUCAGCAUGGCCAGCUCUGAGGGGCAGGAUUAGAUCGGAGGAGGCGGCCAGAAGUAGGCAUGUGACACAGUUCUUGCCAAGGAGACACCAGCUGGAAUCCCCGAAUGUGAGUGUGAUGUCUGGAGCUUCAGCAGCCAUAUUUUGACCACGAGCCAAAUUUGAGGAUGACAGCCAUGCACUCAGAAUGAUGGACUAGAAAAAUAAAAAGAGCCUGGACCUCUUCUCCAAGACAAUGCUGUGGAGCUGCCAUACCAGCUCUGGAGUGCCUGCUUUUGGACUUCUUGUUAUCAAAUAAAUGAAUAAAUAAAUAACCUCCUAA